UACGUAGGGGGCAAGCGUUGUCCGGAUUCAUUGGGCGUAAAGAGCGUGUAGGCGGCCAGGUAGGUCGGUUGUGAAAACUGGAGGCUCAACCUUCAGACGUCGACCGAAACCAUCUGGCUAGAGUCCGGGAGAGGAGAGUGGAAUUCCUGGUGUAGCGGUGAAAUGCGCAGAUAUCAGGAAGAACACCCGUGGCGAAAGCGGCUCUCUGGAACGGUACUGACGCCGAGACGCGAAAGCGUGGGGAGCGAACAGG
rnacentral:rRNA from 1 species